rnacentral:tRNA from 1 species
GGUUUUUUAGUUUAAGUUAAAAUACAGAUUUUGUAAAUCUGUGAUGAUUGGUAUGAUAUCAUUAACCU